rnacentral:RNase_P_RNA from 1 species
AGUCGGUUGGAUGGUUACUCCUGGCUUACAUUAGUAAUCUGGGAGAGGAAAGUCCGGGCACUGCAGGACAGGAUGCUUCUUAAUGAGAAGAGGUGUGCUGAUGUACAUUAUGGAAAGUGCAACAGAAAGUAAACCGUCUGCCAACUGGCGGAUAAGGGUGAAAAGGUGGUGUAAGAGACCACCAGAUUUUGAGGAAACUCAGAAUGCUUGUAAACCCCAUCCAGUGCAAGAUCAUAUAGGCUCUAAGAUGUUGUUCGCAUCGAUUUAAGAGCGGGUAGAUUGCUAGAUCUUAUUGGCGACAAUUAGACUAGAUGAAUGACCAUCCAAUCAGGUUUGAUACGUCAACCUGAUGGACAAAACUCGGCUUAUAGACCGGCUCAA